rnacentral:lncRNA from 1 species
GAGGCUUUGUCUUGAAACCAACAGCAAAGCUAACCACAACACCAAACAGUACAGAGAGCUCCUGGAGAAAGGUCAUCUGUUGCUUCCCUUUCUGUUGGGGAUGGGGAACUUGAAGAUGAUAGGAGUUUCCUCUUCAGAGUUAAACACUCAGUACCACCAUGAAGAUCCCCUCUAUCAUCACCUCUGCAGCCUGGAGGACACAGUGGGCCAGAAAUAUCUAUCACUGAUGAACCUGGGAGCCAUGGUCAUGAUGGUGCUGGCCAAAGUUGUGCUCAUAACCCCCCUCUACAGAUUCAUGAUCUUCCUCAGGUUGAAGAAAAGGUCCUAUCCCCUCACCUUAUUGGGCAGAGCCGCAUCAAUUUCAUCCUGAAGUUUCUUCUGUACAUCAGGGUGAAUGGCCAGCAAAUACAAUGCAAAGGAAAGAGCACUGCUUGUGGUCUCAUAGCCAGCAAAAAUAAAGAUAACUGACUGAGCCACAAUCUCCACAUCAGAUAAUGCUAAUGGGAAAGAGAA